rnacentral:pre_miRNA from 9 species
GUUCGAUAGCGUAAAAGUUAACUCAAUUUGGAUUUGGAACGUUUGCCUACGUUUGCCGCUAGGGGCGCUGUUCCAACUGCAUACAAAUUAAAGUUAACUUUUACGCUAUCGA